rnacentral:lncRNA from 1 species
CUCUUACCGCCUCUUCAGCGCUUACGAGACCCCCAUCCCUUUCAUCAGCAGCAAGGGCCUGGAGAUCGCGUCCUUCCCUCACUGAAGAGAGAUCGCAUCCCUGUCUGUAAGCAGACAUCAGAUAAUAGUAUGGCUUAACAGUAGAGGAAAAGACACUGAAGAAUCUACUGUUUGCACUAGCAACUCAGUUCUGCGAAUAAAGUUAGUUCUUGUUCCUGCAUGAAAUAGUGAUCUGCCCAGUUUGUCUUUGUUACAGAUUCUAGAAUCCUAUCUGACAUUGUUGCAGAAUUGUUUGUGUGAUGAUUAUGACAUGCUAAAAACCUUUGGCUCAAUGAGGGGUAAUUGGUCACCAAUGUGACUAACAAAUGAUACAGUUCAUUACAAUUGAAAGCUAGAAUCUUGCUGCAUGUUAGGUUGUUACUAUGGACAAUUAUUGAUGCAAGAAUUGAUGUAUUAGCCACUUAAAACAGUGGAACAUCACAUCUAAACUAAAGAAGAACAAGAUUACAUGAAUUGUUUCAAUGUGUAUAUGCAAAUUUGAGAAAAAGGAAAAUGAAAAAAAAGUUCCUUCUUGUCAUCAAGAAUUUGCACAUGUAAUAACUAACUAUGUGAACCUUUAUAUGCUCCAAAAUAAAAAACAAUGGGAUAAAUAGUUAGAUAAAAGGUUUGGAAAACUCAUCAACUAUUUGUUUUUGUACUAAAACUACCUUAUAACUUAAAGAAGCUUUCAAGUAGUUUAUUAAUCAUAUAGAUGAAAACAAGCAAAUAACUCAUGUUAAACAAGGGAGAUUAAUGAAAUACAUAGAACUAAAGAAAAGGAUUUAAAUUGUUUUAAGAUUAAAUGGAGAUGGCAAAAUGAAAGAACAAAGAUUAAUCCUAAUACAUGUUGGUCAUUCAGCCCUACACCAUAAGUGGACUGACAAUUCUUACCAACUCAAACUUCUACAGUCAAUAGCAUUUAUAUCAUUUCUUCCAUAUCUGAGGUAGACUUGUGAAAAAUAAAAUUUGUUCGUAGAGCAAAUAUGGAGAAAACUACUCUUUUAGAAGUAACAUAAAAAUAGGGAAAGGAAGGCCAAACUUUAGGAUCAGGGAAUAUGAUGAACUACUCACUAUCCAUCAUAAGGAACAGUGUUGGUCCGUUGAUAUAUUUAAAGUAAUACUACGAACUAUUUCUUUCUAUCCUUUAGGAACUAAUGCUGUAGCAGUAUGUGUUUUGGUUGCUGAAGUAAUGCCAUGAAAGGCACUUCUCAUUGUCCAUCAAACAGCAAUGCUGGUUGCUGAUAUAUCUGAAAUAAAGGGUGAUGACUGUAUCAAUAAGCAUUUUGGUUAAUGAUAUUUCAGCUACCUAUCACAGGAAAUGAACCAUUAUUGCUAAUUAUACAUGGAUGUCAGAUUUCACAAGAAGCUGAUGACUAAAUAGACAAUUGGCAAUUGAAAAACCACUAUACAGACAGCAAACUGAGACAGAAACCUCACUGAUACCACUGCUCAUUGCAAUUGAAAGAGACAGAAUGGAAAUAAAGACAAUGGUAAACAGGAAAAGAACAUUGAACACAGUCAUGCAACAAUGCGAGAUGUCCUAUUUAAGCUCAGCAAAUGGAAAAAGAAGAUAGAUAGUACUGCCUCUUGCUAACCAAGUAAUUAUGGGGUCCAGGAAAAGAAUCAGAAAAGGAUGGAAUUGGCUUAACAACUUUUUGCAUCAAUCAACUGUGAUUUCAGACAGGUAACAAAGUGAUACAUGGGAAAGUGACAGCCAACAGUUACCAGUAUUUCAUUGAUGAGAACUUUACUACCGGCUCUUUAUCAGAAGUCAGCGGACAAAGCUGGUCCCUUAUCCUACUCUACCCUUCCAGUGAUUUCAUUGUUCCUUCAAGAUAGCAACUGGCAUAUGGACCACCUAUUGUCCUCUUCUCAGUUCCCUCAACACAGGGAAAAAGAGCAAUCUACACUAGAAAAUAAAUGUGCUGGCUGGCUAAACUUGCUUUCUCUAAAGGGAAGAAGAUGACCUAAACUUAAGACCAAGCACAGUGGUGGCGUUAGCUUCCCACACGAUCUCUAUCUUAUGCAUUCAAGUCUAUUUCUGACUUGAGAGGUUGUUGCAUCAUCACUUCAGAAGUAUGGCUGAGUGACCCUUGUAAACCUACUUCAGACGUUAGGAACAAUGCAUAAUGGUAUCUAUGAAUUAAAACAAGACUAAGAGAUCUAGCAAAUUUUCUGGUACCGCUGUUAUAAAUUGACGAAGUUGAUGUGACAAACCUGCGUGUCACAUCAUCGAGGGAUACUCAAAACUUUCAUCAAGAAGAAAAGUAUCAAAUAUUGAGGGUGCAGAUGGAUGAAUGAUGAUGUUGUCCAUUCUGUAGGUUCUUGUUUAUCCAUCGGUCAUCUGCCAUAGUCUAAUCAGCAUUGAAGCAAGAGUACUUGUUCUUGUUCAUUCUUCCCUACUUUCCUCUUAUUGAUCCCAUCAUUCCUUAGACUAGUGACUUAUUACAUUGACCCAGCUAUCGUACCACUUUAGUUUCAUCAACUCAAAGGGACAAGAACAGUGGAUGCUAGAAAUUUAGAUGUACCUAGCUUUGCCUGUAAAUAUAAAGACAUGUUCCUUACAUGAAAUCAAGCAUAAUUGCUGCUAAUAAAGUCAAAAAAAAAAAAAUCUCUCCCUUUCUCACUUGAAGGGCAUUGCAUCAACCUAAAAGCAUGUAUGGCAUCAAGAUCAUUAGGUUGUACAUUGGCACUACAAGAAUCUGUAGUUUGGUUGGUUCAGCCAUUCUGAAGGUUCUAUUAUUUUAGCCAUCACCAACUCAUCUUUCAUGGGCUAAAAAGGACAAAACUAGUACAUGAGGCUCCCUUGAUAAAGGAUCUAUGGGUCAAUGUAUGCAGCCAUGCCCAGUGCUGAGAUGGUUUUCAUGGGUUGAUUAGUCUAAAAAACAACAGUUCAGAUCCUUUGGUUAAAAACUAAACAUUAUUACCCACACUAAACCUAUCCAUCUCUGUAGAUGAGUGGAAGCAUGAAGCAAAAAUUGGCAUGGAUAAGGAUAUUUUAUUAAUUUAAAGUGAGUGCAAGGUAAGUAUGUGGCUUAAAUUUUGGGAAUUUACAGAUGUUGAAUUUUGUUAUUUUUAUUUUUUAAUAUGUAAAUAUUAAGAGAAAGGAAAAGGAAAUACGAAGAAAAAUAAAUCGAAAAAUUGAUUUAAACUGACAUGUAAAGGCUUCUCAGUGGAUUUUUGUGGAGAAAAUCUUGAAAAGGACAUUUGUGAAGAGAUUCUUGAGAAGAGUCACCAAUGUGACAAGUAAAAGUCGGUUUAAGCACAAAAGGUCCCUCAUUUUCAAUCUUCAAUAUUGCCUUGUCCACAAUUCUCCUACC